rnacentral:rRNA from 1 species
AGACGUCUACAUUAGAUACCCCGGUAGUCCCAGCCGUAAACUAUGCGCGUUAGGUGUAUCGGUGACCACGAGUUACCGAGGUGCCGAAGGGAAACCGUGAAACGUGCCGCCUGGGAAGUACGGUCGCAAGGCUGAAACUUAAAGGAAUUGGCGGAGGAGCACCACAACGGGUGGAGCCUGCGGUUUAAUUGGACUCAACGCCGGGAAGCUCACCGGAUAAGACAGCGGAAUGAUUGCCGGGCUGAAGACUCUGCAUGACUAGCUG